rnacentral:rRNA from 1 species
UACGGAGGAUCCAAGCGUUAUCCGGAUUCAUUGGGUUUAAAGGGUGCGUAGGCGGAAUGAUAAGUCAGUGGUGAAAGCCUGGCAGCUUAACUGCAGAACUGCCAUUGAUACUGUCAAUCUUGAGUACAUUUUGAUGUGGGCGGAAUGUGUCAUGUAGCGGUGAAAUGCUUAGAUAUGAACACAGAACAACCGAUUGCGAAAGGCAGUCUACUGGGCCUG